rnacentral:tRNA from 1 species
GGGUGCAUAGCUCAAUUGGCAGAGCGCAGUCCUUACAAGACUGAUGUUCCAGGUUCGAGUCCUGGUGCGCCCA